rnacentral:rRNA from 1 species
CGGACGGGUGAGUAACGCGUGAGAAUCUGGCUCCACGUCGGGGAUAACAGUUGGAAACGACUGCUAAUACCGGAUGUGCCGAGAGGUGAAAGAUUUAUUGCCUGGAGAUGAGCUCGCGUCUGAUUAGCUAGUUGGUGGUGUAAGGGACCACCAAGGCGUCGAUCAGUAGCUGGUCUGAGAGGAUGAUCAGCCACACUGGGACUGAGACACGGCCCAGACUCCUACGGGAGGCAGCAGUGGGGAAUUUUCCGCAAUGGGCGAAAGCCUGACGGAGCAAUACCGCGUGAGGGAGGAAGGCUCUUGGGUCGUAAACCUCUUUUCUCAAGGAAGAAGAAAGUGACGGUACUUGAGGAAUAAGCAUCGGCUAACUCCGUGCCAGCAGCCGCGGUAAUACGGAGGAUGCAAGCGUUAUCCGGAAUGAUUGGGCGUAAAGGGUCUGCAGGUGGAACUGAAAGUCUGCUGUUAAAGAGUUUGGCUUAACCAAAUAAAAGCGGUGGAAACUACAGAACUAGAGUGCGGUAGGGGCAAAAGGAAUUCCUGGUGUAGCGGUGAAAUGCGUAGAUAUCAGGAAGAACACCGGUGGCGAAAGCGUUUUGCUAGACCGUAACUGACACUGAGGGACGAAAGCUAGGGGAGCGAAUGGGAUUAGAUACCCCAGUAGUCCUAGCCGUAAACGAUGGAUACUAGGCGUGGCUUGUAUCGACCCGAGCCGUGCCGGAGCUAACGCGUUAAGUAUCCCGCCUGGGGAGUACGCACGCAAGUGUGAAACUCAAAGGAAUUGACGGGGGCCCGCACAAGCGGUGGAGUAUGUGGUUUAAUUCGAUGCAACGCGAAGAACCUUACCAAGACUUGACAUCCUGCGAAUCCUGGUGAAAGCUGGGAGUGCCUUAGGGAGCGCAGAGACAGGUGGUGCAUGGCUGUCGUCAGCUCGUGUCGUGAGAUGUUGGGUUAAGUCCCGCAACGAGCGCAACCCUCGUUUUUAGUUGCCAGCAUUAAGUUGGGCACUCUAGAGAGACUGCCGGUGACAAACCGGAGGAAGGUGAGGAUGACGUCAAGUCAGCAUGCCCCUUACGUCUUGGGCUACACACGUACUACAAUGCUACGGACAGAGGGCAGCGAGCCAGGGAUGGCAAGCGAAUCCAGAAACCGUAGCUCAGUUCAGAUCGAAGGCUGCAACUCGCCUUCGUGAAGGAGGAAUCGCU